GGACGUAUAGCUCAGUUGGUUAGAGUACUACAUUGACAUUGUAGGGGUCACUGGUUCGAAUCCAGUUACGUCCA
rnacentral:tRNA from 1 species